UGGCCAGCUCAAUCAGGGCCCAGCUGGCCCUUAUAAGAAGGCUGGGGGCGAAAAGUUGGAAGAGUCUCACUAGCCCUAGAGCAGGAAGGACUAGCUGUCUGGGAGCAAGGUACCCAGAGCUGGAGCAGGACUGGGGAAGGGCAAAGGGAGCUGGGGAGCUCCAGCCUGGUAAACCCCUAGGCUGCAGGCCUUGGUAAAGGCCCAGAAAGGUACUGGGGCUGCAGAGGGGCAACCUGGGAUUGGCAGAGGCAGCUGGUCCUAAACCCUUGCCAAUGAUGAGUGGCCAUUACACUGCAGUCUGCCCCAAUCAGCGGGGGCUAGCUGAUGACUGUCAGUAGCCACUGAGGCAAGGUGGGUUUAGAGGACUGGGGGUUCCCUGGGAUGGGAGAUCCAGAGCUAGGAGCUACUGCUGGGGUAGAACCCGAGGUAAAGGGCACUGGAGUCCAGGAGGGUCACGGAGCCACGAGACAUCAGCCUGAAGAGAGCGCUCAAUACGCUGGAGAGCUAAUUCCCAGGACAACCAGCAGGAGAUGCUGCACCGGAUCCCUUUCAAGGAUUCAACUUGUACAGUACAACUUCAGGCACACAUCUUCCGAAGACUUUCAUGGCUACUUGAUGAACAACCAACCACUGCUGAGAUGUCUUGGCACAACAGGAAGAAGAGCAGUAGGAAAGUCCUGACUGCAUGUAAAAAGUUCUCAAUCAAAUUUCAAAGAAAUCCAACUAAGCAUGUCUAUUUUAGAAGAUUUAGAAAGGUUGACCUUUAAACAGAAGUCGUGAUGGAAAAGGAAUGUUGUACGUAAGACAUACGAGACACCUUAGAGGGAUCUUCUGAUGUUCAGCCCUUUCUGAAAGGCAUGCUCCUUUAAGGUAUCUAAUGAUGAAGAUUGAAAAUUGAGGAAACAAACUAUUAAUCACUUCUAAAAAUCUUGGCCAGACUGUAGAACCCCGUUUGCUUGGAAGUAGAAGUGGCUGAAUAAUUAGUAAUGUAAGUUAUUCCAUGAAUUUCACUUGAUGUUUGUGUUGGCAAAUUGUCCACAGGCAGGCCAUGGAUUUCUUGAAUGUAACUUAUUAUUUGACAUUAGUUGCACAAUGUCUGAAUUAUUCUUGGUCUGAAGCUCAUUCAUUAACAGUUCUUUGCAAAUAUUUGAAAUUUGAGCAGUGUAACAGGUCACUAAAGUUAUAUGGCUUCUGUUCCCUGGUUGGAUGACCGUGAUUCCUAGAAUGAGUAUUCUAGUAAGAAUACUCUUGAAAAGUAAAUUUAAAAUUUCCUUUCCACAAAUUGUCUUUAAUAUUUCUUGAAAAUGUACUGUUUGUUAAUAUUCCUGACAGUAAGCUCAUUCAGUAUAAGUGCCUUCAGAAAAUGACACAAAGGGGGAGUGAAAGAGUUGAUGGAAAUUCGUGGGGUUUUGUUUUUGUUUGCGUUCAGUAUUUUUCUGGGAACAAUGGACAAUAGAGCUGUUGAUUAUCUGCAACUGACUCUGUAAUGAACUACUGUAUCUUUUACUGAAGAAGGAUCCAUUGUUGAAAGUUUUUGUCAACCUGCUUAACGACUUCUGGAUGUGAAGAGUGAUUCACAAAUUGCAAAAUGAUAAGAAGUAAGAAAUAAUGUAAAAUAUUCUUUUUUCUUUCAAAAUGCAGGAGUAUUAAUCUUUUGGUUACAUAUCACAUUUAUCCUUACCAUUACACUUAGACUUCAUGGAGAUUUUUCCAGUGAUGUUAAUGAAAAGUCUGUGUGACAAGCUGCAAGUGUAAAAUUUGACCACAAAAAUAUAGCAGCUAUUCUCCAUUAGACUGUUAUAGAAACUUACAGCAGAUGGCACUAAUAUUGUGUACGAGAUGAUGUUUAAGAAACUGGAAGAGAUACUCAAACAGUAGGAAAUUGUGUGUUAAAAGAUUAACAAAGGAUUAAUAUGGCCUGACUGCUGUCUAUGUAGAUAUAUGCUAAAGCUCCAGGGGUACCUUUAUGUAUUGCAAUAUAUUAAGCUUAUUACAGUGAUAGUAAAAUGUGUGCUUCUAACUUAGGCCCGAGGUACAUUUUCAGUGUGGUGCAGAAGGA